rnacentral:ncRNA from 4 species
UAAAGUGCUUAUAGUGCAGGUAU